AUAUGUUUAUCACAUUUUUCUAUUAAGAGAAAUUCCACUUAGAGUCAGUUCCUUUCCAAAGUUGAUUUUGUUGGCUCUCUCUCAUGGCAUUGCAUUUCUUCACAUUUUACAGUUGUGAUUUGCAAGUUUUUUAAGUAGACUUUUUAGUUUGUUUCAUUCUUUGGUAGAUUGUAUUAAUGUUUCUAAUUCUUUACUCCUUCCCUUUUACAGAAUUAUAACUGGACAUCUUUUGCCAGGUGACUUUUCAGUGCCUUCCACUAUAGUAGAUGGAAUAUACUUCCCCACUCCAUUGAGUCCAUUUUUUGUUGGCUAACCUGUAGUUUUAAGAUUGUAAUUUUUUUAAAUCUAGUUACCUUGAUUGCUUUUUAGAGAGCUAUUAGUCCCAAUAACUUAGACCACCAUUAUUUAAAAAUGGAAUUCCUAACCACAAUGUGUGCACCUCAUCAUAGGAAGGAACACAAAUGGGGGAGUAGAAGAAAACAGAAAUGUAUUAAUAGGCGACAGUGAGUACUUCAGCUUUAUGUGUAAUGUUUUAUUUCUUGUAUUACAAAGUAAAAGAUAUGAAGCAUUUGACUAAAAAUGUUAAUUUAUAUAAUUUGAAUGAUGGGUACAUGGGCAGUUGUUAUAUUUAUAUAUACUUUUAUGUAUUCUAAAUUUUUUUCUCAAAAUAAAAAAGAGAAACAGUCAAGGGUUA
rnacentral:lncRNA from 10 species